CCUACGGGGGGCAGCAGUGAGGAAUAUUGGUCAAUGGACGCAAGUCUGAACCAGCCAUGCCGCGUGCAGGAAGACGGCUCUAUGAGUUGUAAACUGCUUUUGUACGAGGGUAAACGCAGAUACGCGUAUCUGUCUGAAAGUAUCGUACGAAUAAGGAUCGGCUAACUCCGUGCCAGCAGCCGCGGUAAUACGGAGGAUUCAAGCGUUAUCCGGCUUUAUUGGGUUUAAAGGGUGGGUAGGCGGUCGGAUAAGUUAGUGUUUAAAUCCCGAGGCUCAACUUCGGAAUUGCCUCUGAUACUGGUAGGCUAGAGAGUAGUUGCGGUAGGCGGAAUGUAUGGUGUAGCGGUGAAAUGCUUAGAGAUCAUACAGAACACCGAUUGCGAAGGCAGCUUACCAAGCUACUUCUGACGUUGAGGCACGAAAGCGUGGGGAGCAAACAGGAUUAGAUACCCGUGUAGUC
rnacentral:rRNA from 1 species